CGAACGGGUGGGUAAUGCGUGACCAACCUGCCCCAUGCUCCAGAAUAGCUCUUGGAAACGGGUGGUAAUGCUGGAUGCUCCAACUUGACGCAUGUCUUGUUGGGAAAGUGUUUAGUGGCAUGGGAUGGGGUCGCGUCCUAUCAGCUUGUAGGCGGGGUAAUUGCCCACCUAGGCUUCGACGGGUAGCCGGCCUGAGAGGGCGGACGGCCACAUUGGGACUGAGAUACGGCCCAGACUCCUACGGGAGGCAGCAGCA
rnacentral:rRNA from 1 species